rnacentral:rRNA from 1 species
UACGGACUACGGGAGGCAGCAGUGGGGAAUAUUGCACAAUGGGCGCAAGCCUGAUGCAGCCAUGCCGCGUGUAUGAAAAAGGCCUUCGGGUUGUAAAGUACUUUCAGUCGUGAGGAAGGUGUUAAGGUUAAUAACCUUAGCAAUUGACGUUAGCGACAGAAGAAGCACCGGCUAACUCCGUGCCAGCAGCCGCGGUAAUACGGAGGGUGCGAGCGUUAAUCGGAAUUACUGGGCGUAAAGGGCACGCAGGCGGUUAAUUAAGUUGGAUGUGAAUCCCCGGGCUUAACCUGGGAAUGGCAUUCAAGACUGGUUAGCUAGAGUCUUGUAGAGGGGGUAGAAUUCCAUGUGUAGCGGUGAAAUGCGUAGAGAUGUGGAGGAAUACCGGUGGCGAAGGCGGCCCCUGGGACAAAGACUGACGCUCAUGUGCGAAAGCGUGGGGAGCAAACAGGGAUUAGGAUACC